rnacentral:lncRNA from 1 species
AUGAGUAGAAGUUCGACAUCCUGGCAUGGAUCAUCACUGCCAACACCCACCCUGCCCAAAAUCAGCAAAGAGAGAGUCACUUCAGUGAAUGACUUGUGCAAAAGCAUCACUAUGGUCAGAGGUUACCAUAUAGUUGAAAUGAUAGCAACACCAAGGGAAAGGUGGUGCAACACCAACAAAAAUCUUCAAGUUCAGCUGGGGGACGGGGUGUUCAAACUCCACUUUGCUGUGACAGUCAAUCUCUGGCGCUGGCGUUCCCCACUUUGCUGUGACAGUCAAUCUCUGGCGCUGGCGUUCCUUUGGCUUGAGGGCUCAGCCACUGUAAAGGCAGCACCAAGCUCCAUAUAACUUCAUAAUCUUUCUCCUUUAUGAAGCUAUGAAGCCUAC